UUGAUCCUGGCUCAGAUUGAACGCUGGCGGAAUGCUUUACACAUGCAAGUCGAACGGCAGCACGGACUUCGGUCUGGUGGCGAGUGGCGAACGGGUGAGUAAUAUAUCGGAACGUAUCCGAUAAUGGGGGAUAACUAAUCGAAAGGUUGGCUAAUACCGCAUACGCCCCACGGGGGAAAGCAGGGGAUCUUCGGACCUUGCGUUAAUGGAGCGGCUGAUAUCUGAUUAGCUAGUUGGUGAGGUAAAGGCUCACCAAGGCGACGAUCAGUAGCUGGUCUGAGAGGACGACCAGCCACACUGGAACUGAGACACGGUCCAGACUCCUACGGGAGGCAGCAGUGGGGAAUUUUGGACAGUGGGCGCCAGCCUGAUCCAGCCAUUCCGCGUGAGUGAAGAAGGCCUUCGGGUUGUAAAGCUCUUUCUCAAGGGAAGAAAACUUACUUUUUAAUAAAGAGUGAGGUUGACGGUACCUUGAUAAGAAGCACCGGCUAACUACAUGCCAGCAGCCGCGGUAAUACGUAGGGUGCGAGCGUUAAUCGGAAUUACUGGGCGUAAAGCGUGCGCAGGCGGUUUUGUCAGUCAGAUGUGAAAUCCCCCAGCUCAACUUGCGAACUGCGUUCGAGACUACAAGACUAUAAUAUGUCAGAGGGGGAUAGAAUUCGACGUGUAGCAGUGAAAUGCGUAAAGAUGUGGAGGANUACCAAUGGCGAAGGCAGCCCCCUGGGAUAAUAUUGACGCUCAUGCACGACAGCGUGGGGAGCAGCCAGGAUUAGAUACUCCUGGUAGUCCACGCCCUAAACGAUGUCUACUAGUUGUUGGUGGAGUAAAAUCCAUGACUAACGCAACUAACGCGUGAUGUACACCGCCUGGGGAGUACGUCGCACGAUGUAGAACUCAUAUGAAUUGACGGG
rnacentral:rRNA from 1 species